rnacentral:rRNA from 1 species
UACGAAGGGUGCAAGCGUUACUCGGAAUUACUGGGCGUAAAGCGCGCGUAGGUGGUUGCUUAAGUCUGUUGUGAAAGCCCUGGGCUCAACCUGGGAAUUGCAGUGGAUACUGGGCGACUAGAGUGUGGUAGAGGGUAGUGGAAUUCCCGGUGUAGCAGUGAAAUGCGUAGAGAUCGGGAGGAACAUCCAUGGCGAAGGCAGAGACCUGGACCAACACUGACACUGAGGCACGAAAGCGUGGGGAGCAAACAGG